GACGAACGCUGGCGGCAUGCCUAAUACAUGCAAGUCGAGCGAACAGAUGAAGUGCUUGCACUUCUGACGUUAGCGGCGAACGGGUGAGUAACACGUAAGGAAUCUACCUAUAAGCGGGGGAUAACAUUCGGAAACGGGUGCUAAUACCGCAUAAUAUCUUCUUCCGCAUGGAAGAAGAUUGAAAGACGGCUCUGCUGUCACUUAUAGAUGACCUUGCGGUGCAUUAGUUAGUUGGUGGGGUAACGGCCUACCAAGACGAUGAUGCAUAGCCGACCGGAGAGGGGGGUCGGCCAAAUUGGGACUGAGACACGGCCCAAACUCCUACGGGAGGCAGCAGUAGGGAAUCUUCCGCAAUGGGCGAAAGCCUGACGGAGCAAUGCCGCGUGAGUGAAGAAGGCCUUCGGGUCGUAAAACUCUGUUAUAAGAGAAGAACAAAUUGUAGAGUAACUGCUACAGUCUUGACGGUAUCUUAUCAGAAAGCCACGGCUAACUACGUGCCAGCCGCCGCAGUAA
rnacentral:rRNA from 1 species